CUGGCGGCAUGCCUAACACAUGCAAGUCGAACGGGGUUUAUAUGACGGAACUCUCCCCGAGGGAAGAUAUAUAAACCUAGUGGCGGACGGGUGAGUAACGCGUGGGCAACCUGCCCUGUACCGGGGGACAACAGCCAGAAAUGGCUGCUAAUACCGCAUAAGCCUGCUGUGCCGCAUGGCACAGCAGGGAAAACCACGGUGGUACAGGAUGGGCCCGCGUCUGAUUAGUUAGUUGGCAGGGUAACGGCCUACCAAGACAACGAUCAGUAGCUGGCUUGAGAGAGUGGACGGCCACAUUGGGACUGAGACACGGCCCAAACUCCUACGGGAGGCAGCAGUAGGGAAUCUUCCACAAUGGACGAAAGUCUGAUGGAGCAACGCCGCGUGAGUGAAGAAGGGUUUCGGCUCGUAAAGCUCUGUUGGUAGUGAAGAAAGAUAGAGGUAGUAACUGGCCUUUAUUUGACGGUAAUUACUUAGAAAGUCACGGCUAACUACGUGGCAGCAGCCGCGGUAAUACGUAGGUGGCAAGCGUUGUCCGGAUUUAUUGGGCGUAAAGCGAGUGCAGGCGGUUCAAUAAGUCUGAUGUGAAAGCCUUCGGCUCAACCGGAGAAUUGCAUCAGAAACUGUUGAACUUGAGUGCAGAAGAGGAGAGUGGAACUCCAUGUGUAGCGGUGGAAUGCGUAGAUAUAUGGAAGAACACCAGUGGCGAAGGCGGCUCUCUGGUCUGCAACUGACGCUGAGGCUCGAAAGCAUGGGUAGCGAACAGGAUUAGAUACCCUGGUAGUCCAUGCCGUAAACGAUGAGUGCUAAGUGUUGGGAGGUUUCCGCCUCUCAGUGCUGCAGCUAACGCAUUAAGCACUCCGCCUGGGGAGUACGACCGCAAGGUUGAAACUCAAAGGAAUUGACGGGGGCCCGCACAAGCGGUGGAGCAUGUGGUUUAAUUCGAAGCAACGCGGAGAACCUUACCAGGUCUUGACAUCCAGUGCAAACCUAAGAGAUUAGGUGUUCCCUUCGGGGACGCUGAGACAGGUGCUGCAUGGUUGUCGUCAGCUCGUGCCGUGAGGUGUCGGGUUAAGUCCCAUAACGAGCGCAACCCCUACCGUUAGUUGCCAGCAGGUCAAGCUGGGCACUCUGACGGGACUGCCGGUGUAAGCCGAGAGGAAGGUGGGGAUGACGUCAAAUCAGCACGGCCCUUACGUCCGGGGCUACACACGUGUUACAAUGGCAGGUACAGAGGGCAGCUAGCCAGCGAUGGGAUGCGAAUCUCGAAAGCCUGUCUCAGUUCGGAUUGGAGGCUGAAACCCGCCUCCAUGAAGUUGGAUUCGCUAGUAAUCGCGCAUCAGCCAUGGCGCGGUGAAUACGUUCCCGGGCCUUGUACUCACCGCCCGUCA
rnacentral:rRNA from 1 species